UGGGGAAUAUUGCACAAUGGGGGAAACCCUGAUGCAGCGACGCCGCGUGGAGGAAGAAGGUCUUCGGAUUGUAAACUCCUGUUGUUGAGGAAGAUAAUGACGGUACUCAACAAGGAAGUGACGGCUAACUACGUGCCAGCAGCCGCGGUAAAACGUAGGUCACAAGCGUUGUCCGGAAUUACUGGGUGUAAAGGGAGCGCAGGCGGGAAGACAAGUUGGAAGUGAAAUCCAUGGGCUCAACCCAUGAACUGCUUUCAAAACUGUUUUUCUUGAGUAGUGCAGAGGUAGGCGGAAUUCCCGGUGUAGCGGUGGAAUGCGUAGAUAUCGGGAGGAACACCAGUGGCGAAGGCGGCCUACUGGGCACCAACUGACGCUGAGGCUCGAAAGUGUGGGUAGCAAACAGGAUUAGAUACCCUGGUAGUCCACACCGUAAACGAUGAUUACUAGGUGUUGGGAGAUUGACCCUCUCAGUGCCGCAGUUAACACAAUAAGUAAUCCACCUGGGGAGUACGACCGCAAGGUUGAAACUCAAAGGAAUUGACGGGGGCCCGCACAAGCAGUGGAGUAUGUGGUUUAAUUCGACGCAACGCGAAGAACCUUACCAAGUCUUGACAUCCCUUGACGAUGCUGGAAACAGUAUUUCUCUUCGGAGCAAGGAGACAGGUGGUGCAUGGUUGUCGUCAGCUCGUGUCGUGAGAUGUUGGGUUAAGUCCCGCAACGAGCGCAACCCUUAUGGUCAGUUACUACGCAAGAGGACUCUGGCCAGACUGCCGUUGACAAAACGGAGGAAGGUGGGGAUAACGUCAAAUCAUCAUGCCCUUUAUGACCUGGGCUACACACGUACUACAAUGGCGUUAAACAAAGAGAAGCAAGACCGCGAGGUGGAGCAAAACUCAAAAACAACGUCUCAGUUCAGAUUGCAGGCUGCAACUCGCCUGCAUGAAGUCGGAAUUGCUAGUAAUCGCGGAUCAGCAUGCCGCGGUGAAUACGUUCCC
rnacentral:rRNA from 1 species